rnacentral:rRNA from 1 species
GAUGAACGCUAGCGACAGGCUUAACACAUGCAAGUCGAGGGGCAGCAUAAAAGUAGCAAUACUUUGGUGGCGACCGGCGCACGGGUGAGUAACGCGUAUGCAACCUACCUAUCAGAGGGGGAUAACCCGGCGAAAGUCGGACUAAUACCGCAUAAAACAGGGGCACCGCAUGGUGCUAUUUGUUAAAAAUUUAUUGCUGAUAGAUGGGCAUGCGUUCCAUUAGGUAGUUGGAGAGGUAACGGCUCACCAAGCCAACGAUGGAUAGGGGAACUGAGAGGUUGGUCCCCCAACUGGUACUGGAGACACGGACCAGACUCCUACAGGAGGCAGCAGUGAGGAAUAUUGGUCAAUGGGGCGAGAGCCUGAACCAGCCAAGUCGCGUGAAGGAAGAAGGAUCUAUGGUUCGUAAACUUCUUUUGCAGGGGAAUAAAGUGCAGGACGUGUCCUGUUUUGUAUGUACCCUGAGAAUAAGGAUCGGCUAACUCCGUGCCAGCAGCCGACGG